AGUUUGAUCCUGGCUCARGAUGAACGCUGGCGGCGUGCUUAACACAUGCAAGUCGAACGAUGAAAGCGGGAGCUUGCUCCUGCCGGAUUAGUGGCGAACGGGUGAGUAACACGUGAGUAACCUGCCCUUGACUCUGGGAUAAGCGUUGGAAACGACGUCUAAUACCGGAUACGACCUUCGGAGGCAUCUCCUGGGGGUGGAAAGAAUUUCGGUCAAGGAUGGACUCGCGGCCUAUCAGCUAGUUGGUGAGGUAAUAGCUCACCAAGGCGACGACGGGUAGCCGGCCUGAGAGGGUGACCGGCCACACUGGGACUGAGACACGGCCCAGACUCCUACGGGAGGCAGCAGUGGGGAAUAUUGCACAAUGGGCGAAAGCCUGAUGCAGCAACGCCGCGUGAGGGACGACGGCCUUCGGGUUGUAAACCUCUUUUAGUAGGGAAGAAGCGAAAGU
rnacentral:rRNA from 1 species